rnacentral:rRNA from 1 species
AUUGAACGCUGGCGGCAGGCCUAACACAUGCAAGUCGAGCGGAUGAAGGGAGCUUGCUCCUGGAUUCAGCGGCGGACGGGUGAGUAAUGCCUAGGAAUCUGCCUGGUAGUGGGGGAUAACGUCCGGAAACGGGCGCUAAUACCGCAUACGUCCUGAGGGAGAAAGUGGGGGAUCUUCGGACCUCACGCUAUCAGAUGAGCCUAGGUCGGAUUAGCUAGUUGGUGGGGUAAAGGCCUACCAAGGCGACGAUCCGUAACUGGUCUGAGAGGAUGAUCAGUCACACUGGAAGUGAGACACGGUCCAGACUCCUACGGGAGGCAGCAGUGGGGAAUAUUGGAAAAUGGGCGAAAGCCUGAUCCAGCCAUGCCGCGUGUGUGAAGAAGGUCUUCGGAUUGUAAAGCACUUUAAGUUGGGAGGAAGGGCAGUAAGUUAAGACCUUGCUGUUUUGACGUUACCAACAGAAUAAGCACCGGCUAACUUCGU